rnacentral:tRNA from 1 species
GGGCGAAUGGUUUAGGGGUAUAACGUUCGCUUCGCAUGCGAAAGGUCCGGGGUUCGAUUCCCUGUUUGUCCA